rnacentral:rRNA from 1 species
UACAGAGGUCUCAAGCGUUGUUCGGAUUCAUUGGGCGUAAAGGGUGCGUAGGCGGCGCGGUAAGUCGGGUGUGAAAUCUUGGAGCUUAACUCCGAAACUGCAUUCGAUACUGCCGUGCUUGAGGACUGGAGAGGAGACUGGAAUUUACGGUGUAGCGGUGAAAUGCGUAGAUAUCGUAAGGAAGACCAGUGGCGAAGGCGGGUCCCUGGACAUCUCCUGACACUGAGGCACGAAAGGCCAGGGGAGCAAA